UAACAUAAAGUGAUUUAUGCCCAAUGCUUUGUAUGUCAAACCGAAGAAAUUCAACCAAGAGCAGGUAAACAGUGGGAGUGAUUAUGAAUCUCUUAAGGUAGUCAGAUGCCCCUGUGUCAUCUAAUUAGUAACGCACAUGAAUGGAUUAACGAUAUUCCCACUAUCCCAAGAUACUAUCUAGAGAAACCACAUCCAAGGGAACGAACUUUGCAGAAUUAGAGGGGAAAUAAGACCCUGUUGAGGUUGACUCUAAUCUGACUUUGUGAAAUGACUUGAGAGGUGUAGAAUAAAUGGGAGUUGUUUUCAACGCAAGUGAAAUACCAUUACUUUUAACGUAAUUUUACUUAUUCAGUGGGGUAUAGAUGAGGCCGCAUUGCACAUAUGUUAAAAUUUAAUGCACAUUUCCUUAAAGUGUUUUCCUUUAUGCCAAUGGUCAAAAGUUCAUUCUUUACACACUUGAUGGCAAUGAGUUUAGGAAAACAAAGAGGAUAAUUUAUUUUAAGGAUGAAGAAAGUUCCUACAAUCCCUAUUUUUUUAGCCAACAUCCCCCUAUAAGU
rfam:Picea glauca, whole genome shotgun sequence.